GUAUAAGAGACAGCAGCCGCCGCGGUAAUACGGAGGGUGCAAGCGUUAAUCAGAAUUACUGGGCGUAAAGCGCACGCAGGCGGUUUGUUAAGUCAGAUGUGAAAUCCCCGAGCUUAACUUGGGAACUGCAUUUGAAACUGGCAAGCUAGAGUCUUGUAGAGGGGGGUAGAAUUCCAGGUGUAGCGGUGAAAUGCGUAGAGAUCUGGAGGAAUACCGGUGGCGAAGGCGGCCCCCUGGACAAAGACUGACGCUCAGGUGCGAAAGCGUGGGGAGCAAACAGGAUUAGAGACCCCGGUAGUCCCUGUCUCUUAUAA
rnacentral:rRNA from 1 species